CGCCGGCCCAGCACCACAGCACAAGAUGGUUGACUCAACGCCUGAGUCUUCCGUCAAGGAGCCACCGGCACGCCAUCAUAGAGGCCGCAGGAGGAGGAGACAGGCGUCAGCCGUUCCUCGAAGCCCGGAGGACGUUCCCGAGCGGGCCGCUGCCGUCCAGGAGGACGUUCCCGAGCGGGCCGCUGCCGUCCAGGAGGACGUUCCCGAGCGGGCCGCUGCCGUCCAGGAGGACGUUCCCGAGGCGGUGCCCUUGUCUGAGGCCGUUCCCGAUGCCGUUCCCAAUGCCGUGACCUGGCCAUCGCCACAGCCUGCUCCUUACUGGCUCCCCGAUUGGCAGGUUCCGUUCGGGCCACUCAAAUGGCGAAUUCCUCCCUGGCCGUCUGCACAACGAGAAUGGACUGAUCCACCGUGGCCACCUGAACUGCCUGGUCCCUCGUGGUCCCCUGAACUUUCGGGUCCACCGUGGCCACCUGAACUG
ensembl:lncRNA